GAUGAACGCUAGCUACAGGCCUAACACAUGCAAGUCGAGGGAAACGGCAGCUUAGCUUGCUAAGCUGGACGUCGACCGGCGCACGGGUGAGUAACGCGUAUCCAACCUGCCCCACGGUGAGGGAUAACCCGCGGAAACGCGGCCUAAUACCUCAUGGCCUCCGAGCUUGACAUCAACCUUGGAGUAAAGAUUCAUUGCCGUGGGAUGGGGAUGCGUCUGAUUAGCUUGUUGGCGGGGCAACGGCCCACCAAGGCUACGAUCAGUAGGGGUUCUGAGAGGAAGGUCCCCCACAUUGGAACUGAGACACGGUCCAAACUCCUACGGGAGGCAGCAGUGAGGAAUAUUGGUCAAUGGACGGGAGUCUGAACCAGCCAAGUAGCGUGCAGGAUGACGGCCCUAUGGGUUGUAAACUGCUUUUAUGCGGGGAUAAAGCGGGCGACGUGUCGCCCCUUGCAGGUACCGCAUGAAUAAGGACCGGCUAAUUCCGUG
rnacentral:rRNA from 1 species